rnacentral:rRNA from 1 species
UUAUUACUAGUUGCCAGCAUUUAGUUGGGCACUCUAGUGAGACUGCCGGUGACAAACCGGAGGAAGGUGGGGACGACGUCAAAUCAUCAUGCCCCUUAUGACCUGGGCUACACACGUGCUACAAUGGAUGGUACAACGAGUCGCGAGACCGCGAGGUUUAGCUAAUCUCUUAAAACCAUUCUCAGUUCGGAUUGUAGGCUGCAACUCGCCUACAUGAAGCCGGAAUCGCUAGUAAUCGCGGAUCAGCAUGCCGCGGUGAAUACGUUCCCGGGCCUU